GGGAAGAAGCGAAAGUGACGGUACCUGCAGAAAAAGCACGGGCUAAUUACGUGCCAGCAGCCGCGGUAAUACGUAGGGUGCAAGCGUUGUCCGGAAUUAUUGGGCGUAAAGAGCUCGUAGGCGGUUUGUCGCGUCUGCUGUGAAAUCCCGAGGCUCAACCUCGGGUCUGCAGUGGGUACGGGCAGACUAGAGUGCGGUAGGGGAGAUUGGAAUUCCUGGUGUAGCGGUGGAAUGCGCAGAUAUCAGGAGGAACACCGAUGGCGAAGGCAGAUCUCUGGGCCGCUACUGACGCUGAGGAGCGAAAGGGUGGGGAGCAAACAGGCUUAGAUACCCUGGUAGUCCACCCCGUAAACGUUGGGCGCUAGAUGUGGGGACCAUUCCACGGUUUCCGUGUCGUAGCUAACGCAUUAAGCGCCCCGCCUGGGGAGUACGGCCGCAAGGCUAAAACUCAAAGGAAUUGACGGGGGCCCGCACAAGCGGCGGAGCAUGCGGAUUAAUUCGAUGCAACGCGAAGAACCUUACCAAGGCUUGACAUAUACGAGAACGGGCCAGAAAUGGUCAACUCUUUGGACACUCGUAAACAGGUGGUGCAUGGUUGUCGUCAGCUCGUGUCGUGAGAUGUUGGGUUAAGUCCCGCAACGAGCGCAACCCUCGUUCUAUGUUGCCAGCACGUAAUGGUGGGAACUCAUGGGAUACUGCCGGGGUCAACUCGGAGGAAGGUGGGGACGACGUCAAAUCAUCAUGCCCCUUAUGUCUUGGGCUUCACGCAUGCUACAAUGGCCAGUACAAAGGGCUGCAAUACCGUAAGGUGGAGCGAAUCCCAAAAAGCUGGUCCCAGUUCGGAUUGAGGUCUGCAACUCGACCUCAUGAAGUCGGAGUCGCUAGUAAUCGCAGAUCAGCAACGCUGCGGUGAAUACGUUCCCGGGCCUUGUACACACCGCCCGUCAAGUCAUGAAAGUCGGUAACACCCGAAGCCAGUGGCCUAACCGCAAGGAUGGAGCUGUCUAA
rnacentral:rRNA from 1 species